UCUCAAAAUGCUAGAAAAUAUGGAAGCUACGAACCUUUGCAUAAGGGAAUGAAUUUUUUGCUUGUGUACAAAUGUGUGUAAAAGUAAAACCCAUUCACUGUUAUAGUGUAAAAACACUGCUAGCAUUUUGGCAAAUAGAUUUAGAUGUCUUUCAUAUUUUCUCUUAUAUAAGAUAUGCUUUUUAGAUGUGCUUGUUGCUUAUUACAUAUAUACACAAUUUGGCAACUGCAAGAUCAUAUGUCAAAAGUUUGACAAUGUAAUUAUCAAUAGCAACGAGUUUCGAUCAUCAAAUAGAGUAGAGUAGACCUCAUUUUUGACAUAAUUUAAUAUUAUUUUUUAGCGUCCUAUGUGAAUGAUCCGCAAAUUUUUUUCUCUUAAUCUAUUCUUUUCAAAGUACUCUUUAUGCUCAAAUUUUAAAAUAUUGCAAAAUCGAAGAUACUUAAAGUCGACAAGACCCCACAAUGAGUUUUAAAGUUAAGCAAAUUAUCAAGUUGCAGACCCAAAUAUUUCAUACAUGUUACAAAUUCAAUUUGUUCAUUGUUAAUUAAUAAUUGAGGACUAAUAUCCACAAUUUUCCAAUAUUUAUACUUAGAUGUAAAUAUUAUUGCUUUAGUUUUUGCCACAUUUAAUUUUAACUUAUUAAUAUUUAAAUAUAAUGAUAUCUGUGACAAUACCCCAUUCAUUUUAUCUACUGCUCUGUUAAGACUUUUAUCACUACAUGCCAAAAAUGUGUCAUCAUGUCAUGUCAUGUGUCAAAUCAGCAAAAAGGUUUAUAAAUUCACAAUUUACAAAAAGCCCAAUAUCAUUCAUAUACAAUAUAAAUAGAAAAGGUCCCAAAACACUUCCUUGAGAAAGUACAGAAUCACAUAUAUCUUCAAAUCCCUCAAUGAACUGUGAAUCUGAGCUUGAUGGAGAAUGAUAUAUGCAGCCAAUAACCCAGACAAGAGAUCCUAAAUUCACCUUAAUAAAUUUACACCAAAAGUUAUCCUUUAGCUCAAUUUUUUUAAUGUUUGAAAAUGUAUAGUUAUCAUUAAUGUAAAUCAAAACACCACCUGUAUGUCUGCUGUUUGAGUCACACCUAACACAUGUAUACUUUUCAAUAUACAAUUCGCUAUCAUCAA